rnacentral:rRNA from 1 species
UGGGGAAUCUUGGACAAUGGGCGAAAGCCUGAUCCAGCGACGCCGCGUGGGGGAUGAAGCCCUUCGGGGUGUAAACCCCUGUUGCGAGGGAGGAAUAAGGCCUGGAGGAAAAUGCCAGGCCGAUGACUGUACCUCGCGAGGAAGCCCCGGCUAACUACGUGCCAGCAGCCGCGGUAAUACGUAGGGGGCGAGCGUUACCCGGAUUCACUGGGCGUAAAGCGGGUGUAGGCGGCUCGGUAAGUCGGGUGUGAAAUCCCACAGCUCAACUGUGGAAUUGCGCCCGAAACUGCUGAGCUUGGGGCCGGUAGAGGGAGACGGAACUGCCGGUGUAGGGGUGAAAUCCGUAGAUAUCGGCAGGAACGCCGGUGGGGAAGCCGGUCUCCUGGGCCGUGCCCGACGCUGAGACCCGAAAGCUAGGGGAGCAAACC